UUUUUUGUUUUAGGAUCCUCUAGAUGGUUUAAAGAAAAACUUUGACUAUCAUGAGUGGAAACAGUGUGAAAUUCAGCUUAUGGCAGUACCUAGUGAUUCAGAAGACAGUGAAGGAACAGAAGGAAUGAGUGAUGAAGGCAAAGUGAAAUAAAUUCUCUAAACUCUUCACUAAUCAUCAGUUUUUGGUUUCCCUAAUUUAAUUUAAUUUAAUUAAACAGGGUUGAAUAAAUGUAAUUGGCCUGAAAGUAGUGAGCUGGAUAUUACACAGCACAGAGAGCUGAUGUGCAAACUUCUGACAUAUCUCUCUGGCAACAUAUUUGUCUUAAUUUUAAUUUUAUUUUAAGUAAAAGUAAUUGUAUCCAUUUUUUUACCAGUCUUACCAAAUGGUAUUGAAAUCUUAACCAAAAAAAAAAAAAAAAAAGGGCAUAAAAAAGGGAGGAUUUUCAACUGUGAUAGUUGAAAUAUUUUGAAGAAGAGUAUGAUAUAGGGCAAUAGAAUUGGUCUUUCCAGAUUGGCUAGACCUCCUAGACUAUAUCUCCUAGACUAAGACUGCAUAUUGGAUAUUCACAUACUUUUUCUUUCCUCUUGAAGUCAGUAGAAAUCAUUGCCUGUGACAGAAGAGUAGAU